rnacentral:tmRNA from 1 species
GGGGCUGAUUCUGGAUUCGACGGGAUUUGCGAAACCCAAGGUGCAUGCCGAGGGGCGGUUGGCCUCGUAAAAAGCCGCAAAAAAUAGUCGCAAACGACGAAAACUACGCUUUAGCAGCUUAAUAACCUGCUUAGAGCCCUCUCUCCCUAGCCUCCGCUCUUAGGACGGGGAUCAAGAGAGGCCAAACCCAAAAGAGAUCGCGUGGAAGCCCUGCCUGGGGUUGAAGCGUUAAAACUUAAUCAGGCUAGUUUGUUAGUGGCGUGUCCGUCCGCAGCUGGCAAGCGAAUGUAAAGACUGACUAAGCAUGUAGUACCGAGGACGUAGGAAUUUCGGACGCGGGUUCAACUCCCGCCAGCUCCACCA